rnacentral:rRNA from 1 species
CAGCAGCCACGGUAAUACGAAGGGUGCAAGCGUUAAUCGGAAUUACUGGGCGUAAAGCGUGCAUAGGCGGUUUGUUAAGUCUGCUGUGAAAUCCCCGGGCUCAACCUGGGAAUGGCAGUGGAUACUGGUAAGCUAGAGUGUGUCAGAGGAUGGUGGAAUUCCCGGUGUAGCGGUGAAAUGCGUAGAGAUCGGGAGGAACAUCAGUGGCGAAAGCACUCUGCUGGGCCGACACUGACACUGAGAGACGAAAGCUAGUGGAGCAAAUGGGAUUAGAUACCCGAGUAGUCCCUGUCUCUUAUAC